GAUGAACGCUGGCGGCGUGCCUAAUACAUGCAAGUCGAGCGAACAGACGAGGAGCUUGCUCCUCUGACGUUAGCGGCGGACGGGUGAGUAACACGUGGAUCACCUACCUAUAUGACUGGGAUAACUUCGGGAAACCGGAUCUAAUACCGGAUAAUAUAUUGAACCGCAGGGUUCAAUAGUGAAAGACGGUUUUGCUGUCACUUAUAGAUGGAUCCGCGCCGCAUUAGCUAGUUGGUAAGGUAACGGCUUACCAAGGCUACGAUGCGUAGCCGACCUGAGAGGGUGAUCGGCCACACUGGAACUGAGACACGGUCCAGACUCCUACGGGAGGCAGCAGUAGGGAAUCUUCCGCAAUGGGCGAAAGCUUGACGGAGCAACGCCGCGUGAGUGAUGAAGGUCUUCGGAUCGUAAAACUCUGUUAUUAGGGAAGAACAGAUGUGUAAGUAACUAUGCACGUCUUGACGGUACCUAAUCAGAAAGCCACGGCUAACUACGUG
rnacentral:rRNA from 1 species